rnacentral:rRNA from 1 species
GACGAACGCUGGCGGCGUGCUUAACACACGCAAGUCGAGCGGGAAACUUCGGUUUCCAGCGGCGGACGGGUGAGUAACACGUGGGCAACCUGCCUCACAAUGAGGGAUAGCCUUCCGAAAGGAAGAUUAAUACCUCAUAACACAAGAGAGACGCAUGUUUCUCUUGCCAAAGAAUUUCGUUGUGAGAUGGGCCCGCGGCGCAUUAGCUUGUUGGUGAGGUAACGGCUCACCAAGGCUUCGAUGCGUAGCCGACCGGAGAGGGUGAUCGGCCACAUUGGAACUGAGACACGGUCCAGACUCCUACGGGAGGCAGCAGUGGGGAAUAUUGCACAAUGGAGGAAACUCUGAUGCAGCAACGCCGCGUGAGUGAUGAAGGUCUUCGGAUUGUAAAGCUCUGUCUUCUGGGACGAUAAUGACGGUACCAGAGGAGGAAGCCACGGCUAACUACGUGCCAGCAGCCGCCGUAA